GAAGAGAACUGGAAAGUUCCACCGUAGAAGGUAAUAGUCCUGUAAGUGAAACGAGAAGACCACGAGUUAUGAUCCAGAGUACCACGAGACACGUGAAACCUUGUGGGAAGCAGGGAGGACCACCUCCCAAGGCUAAAUACUACCUGAUGACCGAUAGUGAAGCAGUACCGUGAGGGAAAGGUGAAAAGAACCCCGGGAGGGGAGUGAAAUAGAACCUGAAACCGUGUGCCUACAACCGCUCAGAGCCCCUUAUGAGGGUGAUGAGGUGCUUUUUGUAGAACGAGCCAACGAGUUACGGUAUGUAGCAAGGUUAAGUACUUAAGGUACGGAGCCGAAGGGAAACCGAGUCUGAAUAGGGCGACUAGUUGCAUGCCGUAGACCCGAAACCGGGUGACCUAUCCAUGGCCAGGUUGAAGCGAGGGUAAAACCUCGUGGAGGACCGAACCACGUUGCUGUUGAAAAAGCAUGGGAUGAGCUGUGGAUAGCGGAGAAAUUCCAAUCGAACCCGGAGAUAGCUGGUUCUCUCCGAAAUAGCUUUAGGGCUAGCGUCGAGUAUGAGUAGUGGAGGUAGAGCACUGAAUGGGCUAGGGGGCAUAGCGCUUACCGAACCUUAUCAAACUCCGAAUGCCACAUACUUUGAGCUCGGCAGUCAGACUACGAAUGAUAAGAUCCGUGGUCAAAAGGGAAACAGCCCAGAUCGUCAGCUAAGGUCCCAAAGUGUAAGUUAAGUGGGAAAGGAUGUGAGAUUUCUAAGACAACUAGGAUGUUGGCUUAGAAGCAGCCAUUCAUUAAAAGAGUGCGUAAUAGCUCACUAGUCGAGAGAUCUUGCGCCGAAAAUGUAACGGGGCUAAACUUACCACC
rnacentral:rRNA from 1 species